GCAAAAUUAUUCUGUACAUGGGAACACAGAGACUUAAUAUCACGUCCAAAUUUAUCUGUGAUUUAUGCACAUGUAGGAGACCAAACAUGUGUGUCUAUAUACCUACCCAGGAGGACGCCACCUCCAGUAAAUUCACCUAUUUCAAUCACAUCAUAUUAUUCAGCUGAAGACAGAGAUGAAACAUUUGUACAAGAUGGUUCCAUGUGUGGUCCUGAUAUGGUUUGUAACAAUUUUAACCAUUGCCAUUGUGAAAAGGGAUAUAAUCCUCCUUACUGCCAACCAAAGCAAGGAGCAUUUGGAAGUAUUGAUGAUGGACACUUAGUACCACCAACUG
rnacentral:sRNA from 1 species